CAAACGGUCCUUUUCAGGACCACCAAAAAUAGUCCACAAGAGUUAUU
rfam:Aedes albopictus isolate Foshan contig22466, whole genome shotgun sequence.